ensembl:lncRNA
UAAUCACUGUCUUCCCCGAUAGGAGGGAAAAGAGGGGAGAAAAGAAGACGGGACUGAUGAUGGACCUGAGCCCCAGGACCAUGCCUCAGGACUACGUGGCAUGGUGACUCCUUGCUGUCCCCAGUCCACCUGGCCGUGCUGCUGCUCCAGUUUCAACUGUUCUGCCUGCGGCUAUGGAACCCUGACCUGUUCACUGGACGUGCUACCUGUCCCAGACCUGCUGUUUUCAACUCUCUAGAGACAGCAGGAGAGUGUCCCACAUGGUCAUUGAAGAGGUCAACAGCAUUCAAGAGUACCUGGACAUAGAGAGGACAUGCAGACAGAGUGUGGAAGCC